rnacentral:rRNA from 1 species
UGGGGAAUUUUGGACAAUGGGCGAAAGCCUGAUCCAGCAAUGCCGCGUGUGUGAAGAAGGCCUUCGGGUUGUAAAGCACUUUUGUCCGGAAAGAAAUGGCUCUGGUUAAUACCUGGGGUCGAUGACGGUACCGGAAGAAUAAGGACCGGCUAACUACGUGCCAGCAGCCGCGGUAAUACGUAGGGUCCAAGCGUUAAUCGGAAUUACUGGGCGUAAAGCGUGCGCAGGCGGUUGUGCAAGACCGAUGUGAAAUCCCCGAGCUUAACUUGGGAAUUGCAUUGGUGACUGCACGGCUAGAGUGUGUCAGAGGGGGGUAGAAUUCCACGUGUAGCAGUGAAAUGCGUAGAGAUGUGGAGGAAUACCGAUGGCGAAGGCAGCCCCCUGGGAUAACACUGACGCUCAUGCACGAAAGCGUGGGGAGCAAACAGGAUUAGAUACCCUGGUAGUCCACGCCCUAAACGAUGUCAACUAGUUGUUGGGGAUUCAUUUCCUUAGUAACGUAGCUAACGCGUGAAGUUGACCGCCUGGGGAGUACGGUCGCAAGAUUAAAAGCUUAAAGGG